UACGGAGGGUGCAAGCGUUGCUCGGAAUUAUUGGGCGUAAAGGGUAGGUAGGUGGUCUCAUUUGUCUGGGGUGAAAUCCUUGGGCUUAACUCAAGAAGUGCCCCAGAAACGGUGAGACUAGAGUACUGGAGAGGGUCGUGGAAUUCCCGGUGUAGCGGUGAAAUGCGUAGAGGUCGGGAGGAACACCAGAGGCGAAAGCGGCGACCUGGACAGUUACUGACACUCAACUACGAAAGCGUGGGGAGCAAACAGG
rnacentral:rRNA from 1 species